rnacentral:tRNA from 1 species
AAGGGCUUAGCUUAAUUAAAGUAUAUGGUUUGCAUCCAUUUGAUGUAAGAUAUAGUCUUGCAGUCCUUA